rnacentral:rRNA from 1 species
CGAAAGAAAAGAGUGGCGAACGGGUGAGUAACACGUGGGUAACCUGCCCAUCAGAAGGGGAUAACACUUGGAAACAGGUGCUAAUACCGUAUAACAAGUAAAACCGCAUGGUUUUACUUUGAAAGGCGCUUUUGCGUCACUGAUGGAUGGACCCGCGGUGCAUUAGCUAGUUGGUGAGGUAACGGCUCACCAAGGCAACGAUGCAUAGCCGACCUGAGAGGGUGAUCGGCCACAUUGGGACUGAGACACGGCCCAAACUCCUACGGGAGGCAGCAGUAGGGAAUCUUCGGCAAUGGACGAAAGUCUGACCGAGCAACGCCGCGUGAGUGAAGAAGGUUUUCGGAUCGUAAAACUCUGUUGUUAGAGAAGAACAAGGAUGAGAGUAAAAAGUUCAUCCCUUGACGGUAUCUAACCAGAAAGCCACGGCUAACUACGUGCCAGCAGCCGCGGUAAUACGUAGGUGGCAAGCGUUGUCCGGAUUUAUUGGGCGUAAAGCGAGCGCAGGCGGUUUCUUAAGUCUGAUGUGAAAGCCCCCGGCUCAACCGGGGAGGGUCAUUGGAAACUGGGAAACUUGAGUGCAGAAGAGGAGAGUGGAAUUCCAUGUGUAGCGGUGAAAUGCGUAGAUAUAUGGAGGAACACCAGUGGCGAAGGCGGCUCUCUGGUCUGUAACUGACGCUGAGGCUCGAAAGCGUGGGGAGCAAACAGGAUUAGAUACCCUGGUAGUCCACGCCGUAAACGAUGAGUGCUAAGUGUUGGAGGGUUUCCGCCCUUCAGUGCUGCAGCUAACGCAUUAAGCACUCCGCCUGGGGAGUACGACCGCAAGGUUGAAACUCAAAGGAAUUGACGGGGGCCCGCACAAGCGGUGGAGCAUGUGGUUUAAUUCGAAGCAACGCGAAGAACCUUACCAGGUCUUGACAUCCUUUGACCACUCUAGAGAUAGAGCUUCCCCUUCGGGGGCAAAGUGACAGGUGGUGCAUGGUUGUCGUCAGCUCGUGUCGUGAGAUGUUGGGUUAAGUCCCGCAACGAGCGCAACCCUUAUUGUUAGUUGCCAUCAUUUAGUUGGGCACUCUAGCGAGACUGCCGGUGACAAACCGGAGGAAGGUGGGGAUGACGUCAAAUCAUCAUGCCCCUUAUGACCUGGGCUACACACGUGCUACAAUGGGAAGUACAACGAGUCGCGAAGUCGCGAGGCUAAGCUAAUCUCUUAAAGCUUCUCUCAGUUCGGAUUGUAGGCUGCAACUCGCCUACAUGAAGCCGGAAUCGCUAGUAAUCGCGGAUCAGC